AUACGGAGGGGGCUAGCGUUGUUCGGAAUUACUGGGCGUAAAGCGCACGUAGGCGGCUUGUCAAGUUGGGGGUGAAAGCCCGGAGCUCAACUCCGGAACUGCCCUCAAAACUGGCUCGCUAGAGUCCGGGAGAGGUGAGUGGAAUUCCCAGUGUAGAGGUGAAAUUCGUAGAUAUUGGGAAGAACACCAGUGGCGAAGGCGGCUCACUGGACCGGUACUGACGCUGAGGUGCGAAAGCGUGGGGAGCAAACAGGAUUAGAAACCCCAGUAGUCC
rnacentral:rRNA from 1 species